AAACAGUUUCUACAAAUCCCUCAUAACUCAAAUAAGCUAAUUUUAUAUUAAAAUAUGACAGUUUUGACCUUUGAUUAGAUCUAUUAAUAUCUAUUGCAAAAUUUUCUUGGGUCUCCAUCAACAGCUCCGUUGAAGCCCAAUGACGUCCGGCGAGAUCAGGCGACGGUCCAAAGCUAAAAAAUGGAGAAUACGACCAAACCACAAUUUUCUUCAUCUUCUUCCCUCCAAAGAAAAUAAAUGGAGGAAAACACAAUCUGGCCAUUAAUUGCAGUAAUCACAUGCUCAUUCACUGCAAUUCGCGCAUAUAAGAGAAAAUCACUUAACUAACCGGCGCCGUCGCCGGCUUUCUUGUUAUGUCCAUUCAUUUCGGCGUUAGUUACAGGUUUGAAGGUAUGAUCCUUGCAGUUUUUUCUCACAUCAUCCAAACUUACGAAGGUCGGAGAAGAAAGGAAGAGAUGAAUUGAUGUUGAUUUCAAAAGAAGGCUGCUAGAAAAAUUAGUAAUUAACUUUUAUUUUUUUCUCUUAAUUGCUAAUGGAAAUGCUAUAAAACUGAUAUACGGUCUUGAUUUGUGUAAGGAUACAAGUGUUGUCCAACGGUGGAAUGGUGGGUAAGAGUAUUGUUUGGAUUCGAAAGAAUCAACAGUGGUUACAGCUCUAAGUGGUGCUAUUAUUGGUCAUUAUUCUUGCGCUAAUGGAGAUACUUGGUCUUCACACUUGGGUGCUUAGUGAUGCUAUUCCCACACAUUACAAACUAUUGGUUAUUGAAAGACUCAUAAUAUUUUAAUUCACUAAAGAAUGGUAGUGAGAAUCAUAUUUGUUAAGCCAAUUGUUUAUUGAUUUGAAUGUUUGCAAGAAUUAAUACUUUUGCUUAGAUA